rnacentral:rRNA from 1 species
AAUGAACGCUGGCGGCGUGGAUAAGACAUGCAAGUCGAACGAAGAACUAAUUAGUUUACUAUGAGGUUCUUAGUGGCGGACGGGUUAGUAACACGUGAGUAACCUGCCUUAAAGAGGGGAAUAGUCCUGGGAAACCGGGUUUAAUACCGCAUGUGCCCUACGGGGUAAAGUGGGCUUCGGCUCACGCUUUAAGAUGGGCUCGCGUCCUAUCAGCUAGUUGGUGAGGUAAAAGCUCACCAAGGCAACGACGGGUAGUUGGUCUGAGAGGAUGAUCAGCAACACUGGAACUGAGACACGGUCCAGACACCUACGGGUGGCAGCAGUCGAGAAUCAUUCACAAUGGGGGAAACCCUGAUGGUGCAACGCCGCGUGGAGGAUGAAGGCCCUAGGGUCGUAAACUCCUGUCAUCUAGGAGUAAGGCAUAACUGUUAAUAGCUGUUAUGUUUGAUAGUACUAGAAGAGGAAGGGACGGCUAACUUCG